rnacentral:rRNA from 1 species
CCUACGGGGGGCUGCAGUGAGGAAUAUUGGUCAAUGGACGAGAGUCUGAACCAGCCAAGUCGCGUGAAGGAUGACUGCCCUAUGGGUUGUAAACUUCUUUUAUAUGGGAAUAAAAUGUUCCACGUGUGGGAUUUUGUAUGUACCAUAUGAAUAAGGAUCGGCUAACUCCGUGCCAGCAGCCGCGGUAAUACGGAGGAUCCGAGCGUUAUCCGGAUUUAUUGGGUUUAAAGGGAGCGUAGGUGGAUUGUUAAGUCAGUUGUGAAAGUUUGCGGCUCAACCGUAAUAGUGCAGUUGAAACUGGCAGUCUUGAGUACAGUAGAGGUGGGCGGAAUGCGUGGUGUAGCGGUGAAAUGCUUAGAUAUCACGAAGAACUCCGAUUGCGAAGGCAGUUCACUGGACUGCAACUGACACUGAGGCUCGAAAGUGUGGGUAUCAAACAGGAUUAGAUACCCUUGUAGUC